ACGCUAUUUCGAACACGCCCUGUCCACGUGUUCCUGAAUGUAACACUGCACCCGGAUGUAGUGGGUGAUUAAGCUAAGGAUCAUGUUGCUAGCCCGGUUUGGUAUCUCGACCAUCAAACGUUAUAUGUUGACGAUUAUGUGAUUUAUAGCUAGCUAGAUAACUUGGAUGCAGAUUGCAAGCGUGGCUCAUUUUAACCUGUGCGCUUGGGUCAUUUUGGUGAGGAAGCCUUGAAAUCAGCACUACUGCAGGAGGAACCUGGGAGAGGCUGGAUAACCUGGGAGAGGCUGGAUAACCUGGGAGAGGCUGGAUAACCUGGGAGAGGCUGGAUAACCCGGGAGAGGCUGGAGAGACCCUGAACUGACACCCCAGCCCUGUCCCAAGUCGUCGUUGAUCUUCCACGCCUCCAUGUCCCAGGUGUAGGUUAAACCCUUGAAGCUGGCGAGACCCUGAAGUCCCACCCCUGGGUCCCCUCCCCAGCCUCAGCACCAGCCUCAGCCCCUUUGACGACCUACCAUGCCUCUGAUCGUGGAUGCUGUGUGGGCCGUGUGGAGCAUCGGGGCCGGGGUCUAUGACUACUUCCACACCAGUGCCAUGGAGGAACGCAUCGGCAACCUGGAGAGCGUCCUCACCAUCCACCAGUGUGUCAUAGCAGCUCUGUCCGCAGGCCUCGUCCUCCUCAUGACCUACAUACUGUGGAGAAAACACUGAAGCCAUGGUUGUAUUCAGUCAGUGAGAUGGCACCGGGGGGGGAAGUUUCCCCCUAGGUACAGAUCUUGGAUCAUUUCCCCCUCCCUCAAUCCUAUCUGUAACCAGUAGUGGGGAAAAUACUAAACUGACCCAAGAUCAGCAUCUAGGGGCAACUUCACCCUACUCUAGCGGGGAUGAGACGGUCCUAGAUACUCCAGACCUAAGUACUGCAUUACGGAUAGCAUCGGCUACUCACCAAACUAACAGCCAGUCCCAAAUCACGCCCUAACUCUCCCCCAUUGUCUUAUGUCAUAUCAUGCGAUGACUGUCAGUUUAGGGGCGGGGCAUCGUGUAGGAGUGGCCCCACCUAGCAUAAGAUAAUGACCUUGGCACUAACCCUUGGGUGUUGGCAGAUCUGAAGGGUCUUGAUAGGUAUAAGCAGUGUAACGCUGGUUCAUCACAUUACUACUGGAGCUCAACAGACAGUCCUCAACCCCUCCCUAGUCCUUCCCCUCGGCCCUGACCCUCAAAUGAACAUGGAUAGGUAUGACAACUGGGUAGGUAUAGGAUUCUGUUUCAUCAAAGAGCUACUAUUGGAAGACGAGCUCAAGAGACCAUGAGGAGUUGCUUGUGGAAGCUUCCUGGUGGACAGUAGCCCUGGUAUACAGUGCAAAGGCUCUAGCAGAGCUGGUUGGAGUAGAGUCAUCCCUCCAGGUCUCGUUCGUCACUCUGCUGUUACUUGGGCAAAGGCUCUAUCAGAGCUGGUUGGAGUAGAGUCAUCCCUCCAGGUCUCGUUCGUUACUCUGCCGUUACUUGGGCAAAGGCUCUAUCAGAGCUUGUUGGAGUAGAGUCAUCCCUCCAGGUCUCGUUCGUUACUCUGCUGGUACUUGGGCAAAGGCUCUAGCAGAGCUUGUUGGAGUAGAGUCAUCCCUCCAGGUCUCGUUCGCCACUCUGCUGUUACUUGGGCAAAGGCUCUAUCAGAGCUGGUUGGAGUAGAGUCAUCCCUCCAGGUCUCGUUCGUUACUCUGCUGUUACUUGGGCAAAGGCUCUAGCAGAGCUUGUUGGAGUAGAGUCAUCCCUCCAGGUCUCGAUCGUCACUCUGCUGUUACUUGGGCAAAGGCUCUAUCAGAGCUGGUUGGAGUAGAGUCAUCCCUCCAGGUCUCGUUCGUCACUCUGCUGUUACUUGGGCAAAGGCUCUAUCAGAGCUGGUUGGAGUAGAGUCAUCCCUCCAGGUCUCGUUCGUUACUCUGCCGUUACUUGGGCAAAGGCUCUAUCAGAGCUUGUUGGAGUAGAGUCAUCCCUCCAGGUCUCGUUCGUCACUCUGCUGUUACUUGGGCAAAGGCUCUAUCAGAGCUGGUUGGAGUAGAGUCAUCCCUCCAGGUCUCGUUCGUUACUCUGCUGUUACUUGGGCAAAGGCUCUAUCAGAGCUUGUUGGAGUAGAGUCAUCCCUCCAGGUCUCGAUCGUCACUCUGCUGUUACUUGGGCAAAGGCUCUAUCAGAGCUGGUUGGAGUAGAGUCAUCCCUCCAGGUCUCGAUCGUCACUCUGCCGUUACUUGGAACAGGAUUGAGAGGAAGUUUGAGAGCUGAGGGUAGCUGGAGAGGAGUUCUUCAAUCUGAGAGCUCGAGUGCCGUGUUGACUGUAGCCUGGUCCCCAGAUCUGUUUGUGCUAUUGUGUCCACUCCUUGCCAUGCCAAACAUGGAAUUGACAUGAUAGCACCAACAGAUCUGGGACCAGUCUAUCAUGGCUGGCUGUGAUCAUAAAACACUGUAUUUUGCUACUGUGUGGAUACUGACGUCUAGCCUGGUCCCUGUUCUGUUUGUGCUGUCUUGCCAACAAUGACCAUAAUGACCGUAGGAGUGGGCAAGACCAUACGAACAGAUCUAGGACCAGGCUAACUCAGGCCCCCUUGUUUAAUUUAAAACUACCAUCCAUUGAAUGUGAUUGAUUCAUUUUGGUCCUGUUAUAUUGCUGAAAGGGAUUUGUGAAACAUGGCUUCUGUCCAUGUCACUGUAGAAUAAGCCUACAUAAUAAUGACACUGUUGGGACUAAACAUUAUAAACCGCUUUUCCGGUUUUCUCUGUAUUUGUACGUCAUAACAUCUCCUUUUAAUAUCAUGCUUUUAUCAUUGUUGGAUCUGUUCCCUGUCUACCUGGUUCACUAUUAUCAUGUCUGUCGGCCAUUGUUGGAUCUGUUCCCUGUCUACCUGGUUCACUAUUAUCAUGUCUGUCGGCCAUUGUUGGAUCUGUUCCCUGUCUACCUGGUUCACUAUUAUCAUGUCUGUCGGCCAUUGUUGGAUCUGUUCCCUGUCUACCUGGUUCACUAUUAUCAUGUCUGUCGGCCAUUGUUGGAUCUGUUCCCUGUCUACCUGGUUCACUAUUAUCAUGUCUGUCGGCCAUUGUUGGAUCUGUUCCCUGUCUCCCUGGUUCACUAUUAUCAUGUCUGUCGGCCAUUGUUGGAUCUGUUCCCUGUCUCCCUGGUUCACUAUUAUCAUGUCUGUCGGCCAUUGUUGGAUCUGUUCCCUGUCUACCUGGUUCACUAUUAUCAUGUCUGUCGGCCAUUGUUGGAUCUGUUCCCUGUCUACCUGGUUCACUAUUAUCAUGUCUGUCGGCCAUUGUUGGAUCUGUUCCCUGUCUACCUGGUUCACUAUUAUCAUGUCUGUCGGCCAUUGUUGGAUCUGUUCCCUGUCUCCCUGGUUCACUAUUAUCAUGUCUGUCGGCCAUUGUUGUCGACUGAAGUGCUACUGUGCGUAUUUUGCUGAAUCACUACCUGUUUGUUGGUUUCUAUGUGAACAAACGGUAUUAAUGUCAGGUUAAUAAAUAAUGUGAUUAACUCUGCA